rnacentral:rRNA from 1 species
UACGGAGGGUGCAAGCGUUAUCCGGAUUUACUGGGUUAAAGGGUGUGUAGGCGGACUUUUAAGUCCGUGGUGAAAUCUCCGGGCUCAACCCGGAAACUGCCAUGGAUACUAUUUGUCUUGAAUAUUGUUGAGGUGGGCGGAACGGGUCAUGUAGCGGUGAAAUGCAUAGAUAUGACCCGGAACACCGAUUGCGAAGGCAGCCCACUAAGCAAUGAUUGACGCUGAGGCACGAAAGCGUGGGGAUCAAACAGGAGUUAGAAUACUCCUGUAG